rnacentral:piRNA from 1 species
UGCAGAGAUCAUACCCCAGAACCAAAAGGCC